UCCGGUCGGACGAAUCAGCGCCGCACCGCACGCGCAACCGUGGCCGAGCCCGGAUCGAUCCAGCGCCCUGUUCACCCCGCCCACCCCUGGGACUCCUGGAUCGGGUAAUUACCCUAGGGGAAACCCUACCGAGGUCGCUUCCUCGUUUUCCCCUCGUCCACACGCCUCCCUGGGGCAAAUCGGAUCUCACGGAGGAGCUUCAGCCGCCGCCGUCGUUGACCGUCUGAAUCCACCGCCCGCACCAGGACGAUGCCGCCACCGACGCCCGACUUCGCCGGAGCACGCCGGAGUUCAGGAGCUCGCCACCGCCGCUCGAGGGAGCCCCGUCGCCGUUGAACACCACCACCACCUCCACCACUCACCGCCGCAUCCUCCUGUCACUUCCCCCUCGCCGGAGAGUCACCGGAGAGUCGCCGGAGGAGCGCCACCGCCGCCGUUUUCCUCUGUACAUGAUUGUCCGGAGUGCGACGCGAACUAUUGUCAGGAGUGUGACUUUCUGAACCAGAACCAAGG